AAUUGGAGUACAUCAAUUCCCGAAGGACAAGAUAAUUGGAAGACUGUGGUUAAAGGCCAUUUAACGCGAAAAAAGUACUCCCACAAAAAGUUCGAGGUUAUGUCGUAAACACUUUGUGGAAUCUGACUAUGAAAACAUUAGUAAAUACACAGGUGUCAAACAUUAACAUAAAUAUCUGAAGAAAGGUGCUGUACCAUCUAUAUUUUCAUGGAAUAUGAAACCAGUUUCUGAAGAAA